rnacentral:lncRNA from 1 species
UAAGUUACAAAAAUCGAGUUCGCUAUGUUGUUGAGGAUUAGGUGAGUGUCUCUACACAUAUGGACUUGGUUGUCAAUCUAACUGGGUAGUCUUGAGAUUCAAAAACAUUUACUGAUUCAAUGUCAACAUAUCUUUAGAGAUGCUAACUUUGUUGCGGAUGCUUUAGCAAAAUUAUAGUUCUAAUUGACAUAUUUGGCACCCUGCCUUCAUGUGUAGUCUCCUUUUAAUUUUGAUAGAUAGGGUGUUAGUUUCCCGAGAUAUUUUUUUUAUUUAAGGAUUUCACUAAUAAAC